rnacentral:rRNA from 1 species
GAUGAACGCUGGCGGCGUGCUUAACACAUGCAAGUCGAACGGUGAAGGCGGAGCUUGCUCUGCUGGAUCAGUGGCGAACGGGUGAGUAACACGUGAGCAAUCUGCCCCUGACUCUGGGAUAAGCGCUGGAAACGGCGUCUAAUACUGGAUACGAGCUGCGAAGGCAUCUUCAGCAGCUGGAAAGAACUUCGGUCAGGGAUGAGCUCGCGGCCUAUCAGCUUGUUGGUGAGGUAACGGCUCACCAAGGCGUCGACGGGUAGCCGGCCUGAGAGGGUGACCGGCCACAAUGGGACUGAGACACGGCCCAGACUCCUACGGGAGGCAGCAGUGGGGAAUAUGGCACAAUGGGCGAAAGCCUGAUGCAGCAACGCCGCGUGAGGGACGACGGCCUUCGGGUUGUAAACCUCUUUUAGCAGGGAAGAAGCGAAAGUGACGGUACCUGCAGAAAAAGCGCCGGCUAACUACGUG